UUAAACUAGGAUUAGAUACCCUAUUAUACUAAGAUAAUAGGAAAAACUAGAAUAUUAAAAGAUAUAGUCUUUAAAUUCAAAGAAUUUGGCGGUAAUUUAGUCUUUCCAGAGGAACCUGUUUUUUAAUCGAUAAACCACGAAUAAUCUUACUUAUCUUUGUAAAUUUAAUAAGUUUGUAUACCGUCAUUAUCAGAUGAUAUUUAGAGAUGAUAUUAUUGGAUUUUAAAUAUUAAAAAAAAUUAGAUCAAGGUGCAGCUAAUAGAUAAGUUAAAAUGGGUUACAAUUAACUGGAUUUAAUAAUGAAUAAAGAUUUGAAAAAUCUUUGGAAGGAGGAUUUGGUUGUAAUUAAAAUUAGUAUGAUAAAAAGAUAUGAGCUCUAAAUUAUGUACAUAUCGCCCGUCGCUU
rnacentral:rRNA from 1 species